rnacentral:tRNA from 1 species
GGUGGCGUGGCCGAUCGGUUAGGCAACGGAUUGCAAAUCCGUGAAGCCCGGUUCGACUCCGGGCGCCACCU